UAAUACGGAGGGUGCAAGCGUUGUCCGGAUUUAUUGGGUUUAAAGGGUGCGUAGGCGGUUUAUUAAGUCGGAGUUGAAAUCCCACAGCUUAACUGUGGAACUGGCUCCGAUACUGGUUAACUUGAAUAUGGUUGAGGUAGGCGGAAUUUAAGAUGUAGCGGUGAAAUGCAUAGAUAUCUUAAAGAACACCAAUUGCGUAGGCAGCUUACUGGACCAUUAUUGACGCUGAGGCACGAAAGCGUGGGGAGCGAACAGGAUUAGAUACCCUGGUAGUCCACGCCGUAAACGAUGAUUACUCGAUGUCUGCGAUACACUGUAGGCGUCCAAGCGAAAGAAUUAAGUAAUCCACCUGGGGAGUACGAUCGCAAGAUUG
rnacentral:rRNA from 1 species